CGAGGGGAGGGGAGAGCGGCGCGGGGGAGGGGACACCGCCCGCCCCGGCGCCCCCAGAGGCAGACGGGCGGCCGCUCCGCGCUCCCCUCUGCCCGGCGGUACCUGCGCUGGAAGUCGGUCCGGAAAGGCGCCAGUGUGCCUCUAAGUCAUGAGCUUGGCAGUCUUCCUGAUGCAGACCAUAGAUGGGAUUUGCUUUACAAGUCGUCAGUCCCUGUUCUUCACAAGAAGAACAAUGAUGUUUGUGUUGGGGGGAUCCUAAUUCCUCAGCCUAAGCUGCCUCCUGAGUAACUCCGGUGUUGUCAUCUGAUUCAACACACGCACAAGGAACACUUACAAAGGGAGCUGAGUCAUUCUCUAAAUCUGGACCAUCGUCCUCUGAACACAAAACCUUCCUCUGCAGGACUUAAGGGCAAGUAUUAACUGUGUCAUUUGCACAGGAUGCUUUAGCUUUUUUCAUUUUAAAUUACUUUUGUGUCUAACUGAAAAGCACAUAAUUUAACUGUAUCCACCAAAAUUUUCUGUGGGUCAUUGUGUAUCAAAUACUUAUCUUUUUGUUUCUGUGGUCAUUCCUUUUUUCUUUUAAGAAAUUAUCAUUUCAAAAUAGACUCACAUCUUCACUGGAUUGUUUUCUGUACAUACAUAUGAUUUCUGUGAACUGUGACUACUUUGAUGUCAUUCAGGAACCCUUGAGUCUCAAGCAACAUAACCUCCUGUACAAUCAAAUUGUUAUUUCAAUCAUACCAUUAAAAGACACUGUGAAUAUCAGUCUGACUUAAGUCAUCUGAUAUACCUAACAUUUAAAAGGGCUGACUAAUAAGGACAUGUGUUAGUCAACCUAAAAGUGAGGAAAAAGCAAGACCAACUGUUUAUUUCUUAUUAUUUUCUUGGCACUAUAAAAUAGCAUACACAUUCUUCACGUUUUUAAAUGGAUGGGCUUGUUUUCAGUCUUGUCUCUCUGCUUGCCAAAAGUGUAUGCUCUGGUAGGUUGAAACCACUCUAGCACUACUACAAGUGAUUAAUAUAGGAUUUUUUCAGAUUUCUGUCCAAGUUGCUGGGUUACUUGAAGCUCUGAAUAAGAUUUUAAUGAGGACUUCUGAAGAGCUCUGUGUCUGAGUUGUAUUACAUUGCUCUAAAUAAAACUUUUUAGCUGACUUCUCCAGUAUAAUUCCUUUCAGGUUUUAGGAAUUUUCAUGCUGUCUCUGUUUUUAUAAAUACUGCCUUUAUUAAAUUUGUAAUAUCCCAAAGGAAUACUUUAAAAAUUUUUUUUUUUAGGUUUAUUUUCUUGAUUUAUAUGCUUGCAUGUUUACUCUCUCCCUGUCUCUUGUCUAGUUCUUUUUUGAUUUAAUGCUGAUUUUUUUUUCCUUUGUUUUACAGUAAGUCAUGGGGCAUUGAUAUCCCUAAGGAAUUUAAAGUUACAUGGAAGAAAAUUGAGCAGCAUAUCAAUGGAUGAGAUAGGCACGAUGGUUUCUCCACUAUGUCAUUGCAUGGUGAUGAAGGGACAGGACUGUGAAAUAUGAGAUACAAGUGUCAUCAAAGUAUUACCCUGGUGUUGCAAGGAGUUGCACAAGGAGCCAUUYCUUUUCUGCAAAAGGAGGGCUUGGGUAUUCAUAACUGUAAAAACAAAAACCAACACUGCCAGCAACAGAAAAAUAACUGCCAUAUGUUUCCUGUUUCUCUAAUUUCUAUGCCAUGAAGUAUAGCUAUUCCUAUUAGUAAAAAAAAAAAAAAAGGCAAACUAUCAUCUCUUGUUUCUGUUUUUCUUAAAUCUAGAAAGGUUUUGCACAUUUAACUUAAAACAGUCAAAUGUCUUUUCCUGUUUUUUUCAUUUUAGAAUAAACUGAAAUAUUUCA